rnacentral:rRNA from 1 species
GACGAACGCUGGCGGCGUGCUUAACACAUGCAAGUCGAACGGAAAGGCCCUGCUUUUGUGGGGUGCUCGAGUGGCGAACGGGUGAGUAACACGUGAGUAACCUGCCCUUGACUUUGGGAUAACUUCAGGAAACUGGGGCUAAUACCGGAUAGGAGCUCCUGCUGCAUGGUGGGGGUUGGAACGUUUCGGCGGUUGGGGAUGGACUCGCGGCUUAUCAGCUUGUUGGUGGGGUAGUGGCUUACCAAGGCUUUGACGGGUAGCCGGCCUGAGAGGGUGACCGGCCACAUUGGGACUGAGAUACGGCCCAGACUCCUACGGGAGGCAGCAGUGGGGAAUAUUGCACAAUGGGCGGAAGCCUGAUGCAGCAACGCCGCGUGCGGGAUGACGGCCUUCGGGUUGUAAACCGCUUUCGCCUGUGACGAAGCGUGAGUGACGGUAAUGGGUAAAGAAGCACCGGCGAACUACGU